rnacentral:rRNA from 1 species
GAUGAACGCUGGCGGCGUGCCUAAUACAUGCAAGUCGAGCGGACCAAAGAGAGCUUGCUCUCUGAGGUUAGCGGCGGACGGGUGAGUAACACGUGGGUAACCUGCCUGUAAGACGGGGAUAACUUCGGGAAACCGAAGCUAAUACCGGAUGAUAAAGAGAAACGCCUGUUUCUUUUUUGAAAGUCGGCCUUGUGCUGACGCUUACAGAUGGGCCCGCGGCGCAUUAGCUAGUUGGUGAGGUAACGGCUCACCAAGGCGAGGAUGAGUAGCCGACCUGAGAGGGGGAUCGGCCCCCCUGGGACUGGGACACGGCCCAGACUCCUACGGGAGGCAGCAGUAGGGAAUCUUCGGCAAUGGACGAAAGUCUGACCGAGCAACGCCGCGUGAGCGAUGAAGGCCUUCGGGUCGUAAAGCUCUGUUGUCAGAGAAGAACAAGUACCGGAGUAACUGCCGGUACCUUGACGGUACCUGACCAGAAAGCCACGGCUAACUACGUGCCAGCCGCCGCGGUAACAC